UUUCUAUAAAUGUUUUUUGUAUGAAUGAAAACUGCAACUAUAUAAAAUAUUUAUUGUAAAUUUAAGUUAUAUAAUAAGAGCUUACAAAAUAGACAAUAAGCAAGUAGAGAUUAGGUUAAGGCAUCGGAAGUACAAGAAAGAGUUCGCUUAUCCUGCAAAAAGAGGGAGAAAGAGCACCAAAAAUAUGUAUAAUUUUGUGCAGUUCGCACAGACACAAAUAUAUCAUUUAGUGCGAGAUGCAAGGUGCUGGCUGUGGUGUAAAUGCCUCACAGGAGUAUACAGAAGUUCCCAAUGAUCAGCAACAGAAUGAGUGGUAUGCCAAAGGGAUAAUCUUGUGAGGCAAACAGUUCGCUUUGCUACCGAUGAUGCGACGAUUAUUCUGAGCUCACCAAACAUGGCUCUGAAUACAAUUAAAUCCUUCUUUUUGGGACACCCCGCUGCAGUAGAUUAAGCUCAAAUAUAUGUAUAUGUAUAUGCUUAUGUAUAUGUAUGUACCGCUACUGUAGAAGAGUAUAUAAAAUGUCAACUGAUGGCAAGUAAACAGUGAGGACCAUUUAAGUAAUGGUUUAUCAUUACUAUGCAGAGUAGAACGGUAUGUCAGUUCCUUUGGGCGCUGAUCGAUCCUUUUUGAAAGUCUUUAAUGACCAAAAAAUAUAUAUUGAUUAGGCCCAAUAGCCGUAAAACUAUACGAUACCAUUAGCAUGUCAAUUUUGAUUGUGAAUGAAUUCUAUAGGGAUAACAGGUGAAAAAGAAAUGAUUAUAUUUACCCAUAAAUAUAUUAAAUGUUUUUUGUGCAAGCUGAAUAAAAUUAUUUGUA